AUAUAUAUGUUUUAAUGCUUGUAAGACUAUUCUUUGACACAUUUUCUCUUCCUUUGAAAUUCUUAUAGGACAGAACAUGGACACAAUGCAAUUGGGAUCAAGAAGAAGGUACAGAUCUGUUGUAGGACAGCUGCAUUUGAAGUGUACAUUUAACCUACAUAGCAGUCAAUACAAACUGACAUCUAUUAGCAUACAAAUGUGUGCAAAUGAUCUUUUCAGAUCUUCUCAGAAAUGAAUCAAGUCCAUGGAAUGGAUAUAUACAAAAAUAUAAUUCAAGGACUAUCAGAGGUAGAGAGGCGAGGCAGGGGACUGGAGACCACAGCAGCGAUUCUGCUCUUGCCCAACCUCUUCAAUGAGAACCUGAGUGGCCUUUAUGUCCAUGACAAGAUUUCACCGCUCUUCACUCCUUUACUGCACAUCGGUGGAAAUCCAUUUCACCAUGAGAGUGAAAUCCCGCUGGCCUUUGAAGGGGAGAACAUCCACACCCUCGAGGACGUCCCCAUGGGACUUGAGGCUCUGCUAGGGCUGUAUUUUUAUAUUUUCCCUUAAAUUUCCCAAAAAUGUCAGAAAAACCUAUUAAGUUACUGUGUUCUGGGGAGAAGAGAAGUUGGGGUGAAGUUAUCAGGGCCGGUCAUAAAGAUGGCAAACUUCCUAACAUUACUAAGUGGAUAUGAUAUACACACUAAAGCUGAAAAAUCUGUAUUUAGCAUCAAGUCUACAAUAUUGUUAGUUUACCUWUGAUUCAUUUUUAAUGUAUGUUGUUUUUAUUGUACAUCAUUAUUUAUAUAUGUUUUAAAU